rnacentral:rRNA from 1 species
GAUGAACGCUGGCGGCGUGCCUAAUACAUGCAAGUCGAGCGAAUGGAUUAAGAGCUUGCUCUUAUGAAGUUAGCGGCGGACGGGUGAGUAACACGUGGGUAACCUGCCCAUAAGACUGGGAUAACUCCGGGAAACCGGGGCUAAUACCGGAUAAUAUUUUGAACUGCAUGGUUCAAAAUUGAAAGGCGGCUUCGGCUGUCACUUAUGGAUGGACCCGCGUCGCAUUAGCUAGUUGGUGAGGUAACGGCUCACCAAGGCAACGAUGCGUAGCCGACCUGAGAGGGUGAUCGGCCACACUGGGACUGAGACACGGCCCAGACUCCGACGGGAGGCGGCAGUAGGGAAUCUUCCGCAAUGGACGAAAGUCUGACGGAGCAACGCCGCGUGAGUGAUGAAGGCUUUCGGGUCGUAAAACUCUGUUGUUAGGGAAGAACAAGUGCUAGUUGAAUAAGCUGGCACCUUGACGGUACCUAACCAGAAAGCCACGGCUAACUACGUGCCAGCAGCCGCGGUAA